UCCAGGGGGCCGCCUUCGCCACCGGUAUUCCUCCAGAUCUCUACGCAUUUCACCGCUACACCUGGAAUUCUACCCCCCUCUACAAGACUCUAGCCUGCCAGUUUCGGAUGCAGUUCCCAGGUUGAGCCCGGGGAUUUCACAUCCGACUUGACAGACCGCCUGCGUGCGCUUUACGCCCAGUAAUUCCGAUUAACGCUUGCACCCUCCGUAUUACCGCGGCUGCUGGCACGGAGUUAGCCGGUGCUUCUUCUGCGAGUAACGUCAAUUGCUGAGGUUAUUAACCACAACACCUUCCUCCUCGCUGAAAGUACUUUACAACCCGAAGGCCUUCUUCAUACACGCGGCAUGGCUGCAUCAGGCUUGCGCCCAUUGUGCAAUAUUCCCCACUGCUGCCUCCCGUAGGAGUCUGGACCGUGUCUCAGUUCCAGUGUGGCUGGUCAUCCUCUCAGACCAGCUAGGGAUCGUCGCCUAGGUGAGCCGUUACCCCACCUACUAGCUAAUCCCAUCUGGGCACAUCCGAUGGCAAGAGGCCCGAAGGUCCCCCUCUUUGGUCUUGCGACGUUAUGCGGUAUUAGCUACCGUUUCCAGUAGUUAUCCCCCUCCAUCGGGCAGUUUCCCAGACAUUACUCACCCGUCCGCCACUCGUCACCCAAGGAGCAAGCUCCUCUGUGCUACCGUUCGACUUGCAUGUGUUAGGCCUGCCGCCAGC
rnacentral:rRNA from 1 species